rnacentral:rRNA from 1 species
AGUGAACGCUGGCGGUAGGCCUAACACAUGCGAGUCGAACGGCAGCACAGUAAGAGCUUGCUCUUACGGGUGGCGAGUGGCGGACGGGUGAGGAAUACAUCGGAAUCUACUUUUUCGUGGGGGAUAACGUAGGGAAACUUACGCUAAUACCGCAUACGACCUACGGGUGAAAGCAGGGGAUCUUCGGACCUUGCGCGAUUGAAUGAGCCGAUGUCGGAUUAGCUAGUUGGCGGGGUAAAGGCUCACCAAGGCAACGAUCCGUAGCUGGUCUGAGAGGAUGAUCAGCCACACUGGAACUGAGACACGGUCCAGACUCCUACGGGAGGCAGCAGUGGGGAAUAUUGGACAAUGGGCGCAAGCCUGAUCCAGCCAUACCGCGUGGGUGAAGAAGGCCUUCGGGUUGUAAAGCCCUUUUGUUGGGAAAGAAAAGCAGCAGGUUAAUACCCCGCUGUUCUGACGGUACCCAAAGAAUAAGCACCGGCUAACUUCGUG